UCUAUACAUGCAGUCGAGCGGACAGAUGGGAGCUUGCUCCCUGAUGUUAGCGGCGGACGGGUGAGUAACACGUGGGUAACCUGCCUGUAAGACUGGGAUAACUCCGGGAAACCGGGGCUAAUACCGGAUGGUUGUCUGAACCGCAUGGUUCAGACAUAAAAGGUGGCUUCGGCUACCACUUACAGAUGGACCCGCGGCGCAUUAGCUAGUUGGUGAGGUAACGGCUCACCAAGGCGACGAUGCGUAGCCGACCUGAGAGGGUGAUCGGCCACACUGGGACUGAGACACGGCCCAGACUCCUACGGGAGGCAGCAGUAGGGAAUCUUCCGCAAUGGACGAAAGUCUGACGGAGCAACGCCGCGUGAGUGAUGAAGGUUUUCGGAUCGUAAAGCUCUGUUGUUAGGGAAGAACAAGUGCCGUUCAAAUAGGGCGGCACCUUGACGGUACCUAACCAGAAAGCCACGGCUAACUACGUGCCAGCAGCCGCGGUAAUACGUAGGUGGCAAGCGUUGUCCGGAAUUAUUGGGCGUAAAGGGCUCGCAGGCGGUUUCUUAAGUCUGAUGUGAAAGCCCCCGGCUCAACCGGGGAGGGUCAUUGGAAACUGGGGAACUUGAGUGCAGAAGAGGAGAGUGGAAUUCCACGUGUAGCGGUGAAAUGCGUAGAGAUGUGGAGGAACACCAGUGGCGAAGGCGACUCUCUGGUCUGUAACUGACGCUGAGGAGCGAAAGCGUGGGGAGCGAACAGGAUUAGAUACCCUGGUAGUCCACGCCGUAAACGAUGAGUGCUAAGUGUUAGGGGGUUUCCGCCCCUUAGUGCUGCAGCUAACGCAUUAAGCACUCCGCCUGGGGAGUACGGUCGCAAGACU
rnacentral:rRNA from 1 species